rnacentral:rRNA from 1 species
GGAGGAAAGCAGGGGAUCGCAAGACCUCGCGCUAUUAGAGUGGCCGAUGUCCGAUUAGCUAGUUGGUGGGGUAAUGGCCCACCAAGGCGACGAUCGGUAGCUGGUCUGAGAGGAUGAUCAGCCACACUGGGACUGAGACACGGCCCAGACUCCUACGGGAGGCAGCAGUGGGGAAUUUUGGACAAUGGGCGCAAGCCUGAUCCAGCCAUGCCGCGUGAGUGAAGAAGGCCUUCGGGUUGUAAAGCUCUUUCGGCCGGAACGAAAUCGUCCGGGCUAAUACCUCGGAUGGAUGACGGUACUGGAAGAAGAAGCACCGGCUAACUACGUGCCAGCAGCCGCGGUAAUACGUAGGGUGCAGGCGUUAAUCGGAAUUACUGGGCGUAAAGCGUGCGCAGGCGGCUUCCUAAGUCAGAUGUGAAAUCCCCGGGCUUAACCUGGGAACUGCGUUUGAAACUACAAAGCUAG